CCUACGGGGGGCUGCAGUGGGGAAUUUUGGACAAUGGGGGCAACCCUGAUCCAGCCAUUCCGCGUGAGUGAAGAAGGCCUUCGGGUUGUAAAGCUCUUUUGUCCGGAGCGAAACGGGCGGCCCUAAUACGGUCGUCUACUGACGGUACCGGAAGAAUAAGCACCGGCUAACUACGUGCCAGCAGCCGCGGUAAUACGUAGGGUGCGAGCGUUGCUCGGAAUUACUGGGCGUAAAGCGUGCGCCGACGGUUGAAAUCCCCGGGCGCAAACUGGGAAUGGCAUUUGGGACUGCAAGGCUGGAGUGUGGCAGAGGGGACUAGAAUUCCUGGUGGAGCAGUGAAAUGCGUAGAUAUCAGGAGGAAUACCGAUGGCGAAGGCAGGUCCCUGGGUUAACACUGACGCUCAUGCACGAAAGCGUGGGGAGCAAACAGGAUUAGAUACCCCGGUAGUC
rnacentral:rRNA from 1 species